rnacentral:rRNA from 1 species
CUCGUAGGCGGCCUCUUAAGUCGGACGUGAAAUCCCCCGGCUCAACCUGGGAACUGCGUCUGAUACUGGGGGCGUGGAAUGCGGGAGAGGGAUGCGGAAUUCCAGGUGUAGCGGUGAAAUGCGUAGAUAUCUGGAGGAACACCGGUGGCGAAGGCGGCAUCCUGGACCGUGAUUGACGCUGAGGAGCGAAAGCCAGGGGAGCAAACG